CGUAGUGAUCCGGUGGUUCCGCAUGGAAGGGACAUCGCUCAACGGAUAAAAGCUACCCCGGGGAUAACAGGCUUAUCUCCCCCAAGAGUUCACAUCGACGGGGAGGUUUGGCACCUCGAUGUCGGCUCAUCGCAUCCUGGGGCUGUAGUCGGUCCCAAGGGUUGGGCUGUUCGCCCAUUAAAGCGGUACGCGAGCUGGGUUCAGAACGUCGUGAGACAGUUCGGUCCCUAUCCGUCGUGGGCGUAGGAAAUUUGAGAGGAGCUGUCCUUAGUACGAGAGGACCGGGAUGGACAUACCUCUGGUGUACCAGUUGUCGUGCCAACGGCAUAGCUGGGUAGCUAUGUGUGGACGGGAUAAGUGCUGAAAGCAUCUAAGCAUGAAGCCCCCCUCAAGAUGAGAUUUCCCAACUUCGGUUAUAAGAUCCCUCAAAGAUGAUGAGGUUAAUAGGUUCGAGGUGGAAGCAUGGUGACAUGUGGAGCUGACGAAUACUAAUCGAUCGAAGACUUAAUCAA
rnacentral:rRNA from 1 species